rnacentral:rRNA from 1 species
UAGUUGGCGGGGCAACGGCCCACCAAGGCGACGAUGUCUAGGGGUUCUGAGAGGAAGGUCCCCCACACUGGUACUGAGACACGGACCAGACUCCUACGGAAGGCAGCAG